rnacentral:rRNA from 1 species
GUUGAUUAUAAUUUCAAGUCUGACCUGCCCACUGAGUAGUUGAAUGGCCGCGGCAAAUUGACCGUGCAAAGGUAGCAUAAUCAUUAGUUUUUUAAUUGAAAGCUUGUAUAAAAGGUUUGAUGAGAAAAUUACUGUCUCUAUUAGAGUUUAUUGAAAUUUUAUUUUUAAGUUAAAAAGCUUAAAUUUUCAUAGAAGACGAGAAGACCCUAUAGAGUUUUACACAAGUUUUGGAAUAAAGAAUGUAAAGGAUAAAAGGUUUAGAUUUUAUAUAUUGUGUUUUAUUGGGGUGAUAGAAAAAUUAAGGGAACUUUAUUUUUAUUUAAAUAUUUAUUUAUAGGUUUUUGAUCCUAAAGUUUAGAUUAAAAGAUUAAACUACCUUAGGGAUAACAGCGUARUUUUUCUUAGAGUUCUUAUC